rnacentral:pre_miRNA from 1 species
UAUUAAAAUUUUUAUGUAUUUUUACUGUUAAAAACUAGCGUAGUUGACGAAAUAACUAGAUAGUUACACGUGGUUUGCCACGUGUACCUUAUGAUGAUGUUCAAAGAUCAGUUUUUAAUAGUAAAAUGGAUGAAAUUUUUAACA